GUCUACGGCCAUGCCACCCUGAACAAGCCCGAUCCUGUCUGAUCUUGGAAGCUAUGCAGGGUCGGGCCUUCUUAGUACUUGGAUGGGAGACCAGCUGGGAAUAUCAGGUGCUGUAGGCG
rnacentral:rRNA from 1 species